rnacentral:ribozyme from 1 species
UUAGGACGAUGGAUUUCUACCUUCUCGCGGUGUCCGGUGUCAGUACCCUCUGUUUGUGCGGAGGGGACACCAAAAGAAUC